GAGAUAUGAGUAGCUUGAGUUUCAAAAAAAAGUUGCCCGUUCCCAUCAGAUGCUCCAUGACGCCUCAUGGAAGCUACACUACAGCAUCAGCAAAUGGCUCUGUUUCUCUCUCUAUGCUCUGUUUUGUUCAUCUUCUCUCUCUACAGCAUCUAUGCCUCCGUAGCUCUUCCUCCUCUUCAACCACAUCUUGAUGCAACAUAUUCAUCCAAAAAUGAAUAUUAAACACAAGGCCAGUGGAAGCAAGAGAAAGAUGGUGAUAAUCAUGAUCAUGUUGCUUAGAGCUUUAGAGCCUUGAAUAAAUAACCAUAAGUGAUGAUGUACUUGGAUGAAGAAUAUAACUCUGUUUUGUCAUCACUUGAAUUGUGAAGCUUUGUGAAUUUCGAAAAUUUAGGAAUCAUUGUUAUUACAUUGUUCUGUACUUUAUAUCAUUGUCCAAGUGGAGAGAUUGGACAGUUGUCUCAUGUAUCAUUUUAGAUGGUCAAGAUCAAUUUUAAACAUUUUGUUGGAUCUCAUACAGCUAAGAUC